UCCCUGGUGGUCUAGUGGCUAGGAUUCGGCGCUUUCACCGCUGCGGCCCGGGUUCAAUUCCCGGUCAGGGAA
rnacentral:tRNA from 2 species